rnacentral:lncRNA from 1 species
AAAUUUGGGCCUUAUUUUCUUUCCUCGGAACCUUUCAUUUUCUAGAUUACCCAGUCCACAUACAAUACCCAUUACAACAAGCAACCCAAAACAAUAUACGUAUCGCAUUACCAAAACAACCCAACAACUCCUGCACACUGUCGUCUUCUUCACGCGCAAAGCGAGGAAAACCCAUAAUUUCAGUCGCAAUCCGAGCGAACCUCGCGCGUCCUCUUCCCCUUUCUCUUAUCCUCUCGUACGAAAUGUACUCGAAUUUUCCAGGUUUUAUAAUCUCCUUACGACCUUGUCCUUCAUCCGAAAUCGAACGGCUCUCCUCUACAAUCCGUUGUUGGAUUUGGUACUAUUGCCAGCCGUUUUGAAACUUAUCCCUUCAAAAAAAAAUUUGAAUUUCAAACUCGAGCUUCAAAUCGAAUUUCCUCCCAUAAUCAGUCUAUUCUCCUUCUAUAAAAGCUCUCUUGUUUUUUCAUUGAAAGAGGAUUUUUUUUUGAAAAUUAGGAGACAUUUUCAGGUUGGGGAUUUUAGGGAAAAAUUUUCUUUUGCUGGAAACUCUUCACUAGAGGAGAUAUAGAAAAUCAGAGGGGUUAGAAACUUUCUUCUGGAGGUUUUCUUUAUAUUGAGUAUUCACUUUGUAAAGAAACCCAAGACACAAAUAUAGACUUGAGCCUUGGGAGGGUAGAAAAUAGGAGAUCAGAUUUGCUCUUGUUCGGCUCUGUUCUAAUUUUGUCGGAGUUUUCGGAGUCGCCUUCUAGUGUUGAAGUCGCCUUCUCCUGCUCGUUUGGUUCCCAUUCGCUGCCCCCUAAAAGGUAAAUUUCUCUAGGCAUCUUAAUUCAUUUCUUUAGUCGAAAUGUUAGUUCGUAUAUUUGAGCUCAACUCUGUUGAUUUUCUUUCGUACUCGAACUUGUUUUGUUGGUUGUCUUUGUGGUUUUCCUACGCCAUUUGCGGUCAAUUAUUGAAUCUGUGGGUGUGGUAUGUGAGUUCUCUGUUUCUCAUAGUUUUUCUCCGUCUCAUCCCAUUGUAUUAUUACUAUAUUAUUUAUACGUUGGGAAGUUUCGCACCAUUGGUUAUAUGCCGUUAGCUGCUGUAGGUAGGUGGAUAUUCGACUGUUAUGUGUAUCCAUUUGUGUUCUCCUUAAUUUUUGUAAGUCGUUAUGCUCUACUAAUUUUUCGUGUUGUUUCUUCGUUACUCAUUUUGCUACGUUUUACCCUUGUUCACGUUUGUUUAAGUGUUAAACUCCCUUGGUUCUGUUCUCAUUGUCUACGAAGCUCGUCUCAAUUAAUUUUCAUCUACAUCAAUAGAUACACAUAUAUAUUUACUGACGUUCAACCCCCAUGUUCUGAUUUUUUUUUUAUUUCUGUUGUUCUAUAUGUUUUUACUUGUUUUCGCUAAUAGACAUCCUCUACUUCUAGCUAAAGGUGUGACUUUUGCGAACUGCCUCUCUGUGUAAAAACCAAGCAUUGUUGGAUUUUGAUUAUGCUCACAGCCCCCUUUGUUUUCAGCAUGUUUCUAUGUUUGGUUAGUGUAGAAUAUUACUCCUUCUAUUGACUGCAAUGUAUUUGAUGUAAAAUCAUUUUUCUUUUAAUGAUAAGUCGCUAUGUUUAGGGUUUUCUACCGUAUAUUUGUUGACGAUAAUUGUAUGGUUCGUAUCCUAGUUGUGAAACCAUGAUAAAUCCCAGACUAUUGCACAUUGUUUUUUUAUUUAUCAAGUUUCCCACCCCCAUUUCCUUGUUGACUAUUAUAUAUAUCUAGCUUAAAAAUCAUUUCGUUCUAGUUGUUUUUUUUACGCUUUGGUUUAGAAUGUUGCCUUCUGUCUAGUUUCCUGUUUGGUCUGAGUUGGAUUUCUUUUCUCAUGAUGUAGUAGUGUUCCAUUCCAGUAUGUGCUUAUUGAAGCAUGAAUCGUUUUCUUUUUUUUUCUUCUAUUUGGAGAGCUUUUGUGGGGUUGAAGUUGUAUUUUUGGAAGGAUAAGCUUAAGGUUAAGCCUUUAGCACGAUCUUAUGUGUAAAGAUCUGUACCAAUUUAAUAUAGUCUCUCGUACGUCUGCCUCUGAUCUUCCCUUCAUUUAUAUUUGUGAAAAUUUGCUAUAAACCCCUCUCUUUAGGCCUGAAAAUUCUGCCAAAGCGGUAGAGCAUUGGCUAGUUGGCUUAUUAAUUUGUCAUGGCUGAAAUAUGCUAAUUGUCUGUUGAGAUCAUUUUGUGGCAGUAGUCUGUCCACAUGUUCUAGUGUUGUUCUCGUUUUCUUUUCUUUUCUUUUAUCCUGUUUUCUUGUUCUUGUUGAAACUGUAAUUUUUCUACGGAAGAUGGUGUCGACCUAGCUACUAUUUUAAGAAUUAAUAAUAUGCACUUAUUAUCUUCCGCUUAUUUGGUGAUUUAGCGAUUAGGGAUCAUAACAUUAUCUCGGGCGUGACAUGUGUUAACAUAGUUGCCAGUAUCGUUCAAUAAUGUCUUCGCCGUGUUUAGUUGUUUGAGUAUAAUGAUAGUUUCUUCUAAAGUGAGUUGAUCUGCCACUAUCUUCAAAUUUUUGUCCUAAACUUGAUGAGUUAACUACAUUAGGCUCUAUCGAUCUUUUAUAUACAUAUGAGCAUGAGGUGUGAAACUCAUUGAUUAUGCAAUAUUUUGUCGACAUUCUUGAUUUACUGUUAAUUAUUGACUGUGAAUAAAUUUGAUCCUGCUCUCCGUUUUUCUUGUAUAUAUAAUUCCUAAGAUUUGCUGCUCCUAAGCACAUGCUUGGUAUAAUUAGGCACUCUAGUGCUGUCCGAUUUUUAAUUAGUUUAUUUAAAUUGGUUUGGUUAUGUUUUCUCAAGUUACAUAUCACUUUGGGUCCAGUAGUUGAAAUGCUUAUAUUCCUAGUUUAAUUUUCAAGUGUCUUCCAUUUCAAUAGGAUAAUUAUUUUGUUUAAAUGAUAUUUCCAAGUUUAUUAUUUUUUAUAUACUAAUUACUCUCCUUCAUUUGUUAUUGCAUCUGACACUCCUCUCGAAAACUCCAUUCCCCUUCAUAUUCUCUAGUCUAGCCACGAAGGCUCAAACCUCUAUCCUUCGAGUUGGUCAUCCCACGAAAAAGACGUACAGGUUUCGGAGUUGGAAAGAUCCAAAAAUCCAAGGAGUUGAAGACUUGAGCUAAAAGCUCCAAUUUAUUUUCACUAAGUUUUGUAUUUUGUUCUUUUGGGCCUAAGCCCUCGUCAUUUUUGUAUUCUUGUUAUUAUCUUGUUUAGUUUAUGACAGGUACAAAGAAAAUGGGUCCAAAAAUCGAUCAAGGCGAACAGAAACCAGAUUUGGAUCCAAAUCCCUCUCCCUCUUUCUUAUUUCUUGUUCAUUUACUCGCUUUAUUUGUUAGUUAGUUUUAAGCUAAGAAAACUCCAAAUUCCCCGCAAACCCUUAAAUGCCUUAUCGAAUUAAAACCAAUAAUUUUGCAAAUAAUUCACUUAAAUAAUAAUUUAGUAUUUUAUCUCUUUACCCUUCUAAACUUUUUCCAAGUCAAAUCUAAUUUUAGCCAGUUAUGUUAGUUGCUGGAAUAUCGUUUUAAACGGAUGUUUUAGGUGUCUAACACCUUCCGAAAGCAUUAAUUUGAAUCUCUGAGCCCUUUAAAUGUUUUCAAAUAAUUUUCUCUGUUAAGUUAUUUGAAUACAAUAGUUUUCUUAAUUUUUCUUAAAAAUUAAGUGGCGACUCUAAAAUGUCAAAAAAUUUUGAAAAAAUAUUUUUUUUGAUAAAACUCUAAUCAUGUUGGUUAGCUCAUAAACAACCAAAAGAUUCCAUAAGACUAUAAACCAACACAUAUUGAAUUCAAACUUAGCUUAAAUACGGUCAUGAUUAGCAUUCUAGACAUACGAAUAUGACUAAAAUCACUGCCCCACACUUAGAGCUUUGUUCGUCCUCGAACGAACUUACUGGCUACUCUUAGACCUAGACUCACUAGUAUGGUAUUUGUGCGUCCACCACUUUCUUUCAAGAAUCUAUAAACAGUUAACACGAGCAUGAUUUAAUUUAAAGUAUACAUGACCCCUGUAAUUGACUUGACAACAUUUUGCAACCAACACAUUCAACAACAUAUGCACCACUACAUAUCACCUAUCCUUCAUACAACAAGUGCCCCUCACUCCAAAGAAUAGUCCACACACCCAACUAGCAAUUUGAAUAUAUUUUAGUGACUUUAUAACUAUGUACAUUCUCACUUAACAACAACAUCAAAUAUGUAUGCAUUGAGAAGCAUAAGCUUGCCAAUUAUGUACAUCUCUACUAAAAAAAGUGUGUUAUGCUCAAAAUCAAAUAGGACUUAUUCCGGUUGUAAUGUAGGCUUAAGUUAAGGGAGGAGGAUUUAUUUAGAUAAAAUUAGUGACUUAUCCUCCAUAAUGCACCAUAUUCACUUUCUUCUAACAUUCACAACUUUUUCUUCUCUUUAGCCCCCCCCCCCUCUUUCUUUAUAUAUUUAAAAUAAUAUUAUUUUUUAUUUUUUUCACUCGCUCAUUUUAUAUAUUUUUUUGACAUUCAACAAUAGCCACCCUUUACUUAGAGAUUUCCCUUGAAUUAAGGUGCACGUUGCCCUUGGAAGGGAUAUAGUCAUCAUUAAGAUAUUACCAAGUUAGCCACCUUCAACUUUGAUUUUUAAUCUUAGUCGAAGUGCACAAUGUCCUAAGGACCAGGGCUAAUCUCAGAUCAAGCUCAUGGGGUGUAAUUUUACCUCUUCUUUUCACUCUUCCCCAAGACACUCAACAUGUCUAUCCUAUUCAUUCUUUUUGUUGUUUUUAUUUUUUUUCCUAAUAUAGUGCAUUAACGAUUUGGGAUCAAAGCUAACAGUAUAAAUAAUAUUGGUUUGACUCCAAUAUGUGGGUUAGAACAAAAUUACGACUGAAAAGGCUCAAUUGGGCAAUACUAGGGAUAUAAUUUCUUAAAUGGCUAAAAUUCUAGAC